GAGCUCGUAGCUCAGCUGGCUAGAGCGUUCGAUUCACAUUCGAAAGGUCGGGGGUUCAAGUCCCUUCGAGCUCA
rnacentral:tRNA from 1 species